UUUCCGUGGUUGAAACAACAUUCUUUUUGAUGUUCAUUCAUGUUUAUUUGAUGUUAUAAAUUAGCCUAACUAGCAGGAAGACACGAUCAGUUCACGAGCUGCUUGAACUGAGGCGCUACAGUAAUCUGUCACAACACAUUAAAGAGCCACAAAACGGUAAUUAUUCUUAAAAAAUUACAAAAUUUGAGACUGUGUUUCAUAUCAAAAGUAACCUUCUCUGUCUUGUCUGUCGACGCGUUGUCAGUGUCUUCUUGAUGCUCCGUGAUGUAUUUUUUACUGCGUGAGAACGUGUGGCUUGAGAGUGGCAUGGCUUGUUGGACAUAGUAACAGUAACUAAAGGGGGCGGGUCUUUGCGAACAGUCAGUUACGUAAUAGGUAGGUGUGGCUCUGAGACUCUGCCUUCUUUGACGUGGAAAUCAUCUCCGGUUCAUUUCUUCUGUUCAGUCCGUCGAGGUCCGAUGCAAGUAAAUACAUGAACACCAUGGAGAGCUGCUUUACAGUAGAAAUUGAAGGCUGCUGUCACUUUAAAACCUCAUGUAUGGAUCUAAUAUCCACCUUUUUCCUACACCCCACGACUCUUUGCACAAAUUAUUAGAGUAACUUCCGUUAAACUGUAAACCAUCAGCGAAAGUUUCGCUCUAUGAAUACAAUAAGUGUUUUUAAAAACUGGGCACAAAGAGAUGACAUUCUACUCACCCUUCAGUCAAACUGACGGAUAUGGAUUAUUUGUAGAGCAACCUUAUGAUUUGAAAUGAUUUGUUUCAGUCUUUUUGAGUGGAACUUUCCCAAACCAGAAGUGCCUCUCUGUUAAAAUCUCUGACAAAACUUCUCCACCACAGUUUCCUGUAAGAGCCGCCCAAAAAAAAAAACAAAAAAAAAAAAACUUUGAAAAAUAAAAGAAAAAUGCAGGUUUAGAAAUAAAGCACCUCUAUUCAUAAAAGAGUUAUGUUUGAACUAACUGAGAUUAUUAUUGAUCCAAAUGGCCGAUUUGUCAUGGUCUUGGGCAAGCUCCGCAACAUAUCAGUAAUCUUAGGCCCUGUCCACACGAACACGGGUAUUUUCUAAACCACAGCUUUUUCAAUGCGGUUUGGCUGUUCGUCCACACGCAAAUGCAGUAUCCGGUCACUGAAACCGAACAUUUUUGAAAACUCCUGCCAGGGUGAAGAUUUGUAGAAACUCUGGUUACAAUGUUGUCGUGUAGAUGGUGAAACCAGAGAUUUUGGCUUGUGACGGUAGAACUGGAACCAGUAAUAACCUUUUUUUCCAGGCUUCUGAUUGGCCAACAUGGCUUUACGGUUAGGGUUAUAUCACUACCUGUUGGUUUGGCAUGCUCUUGACAGCGUUUCAUAGUGCUUUUUGUGUUUUCAUGUGGACACGAUUUUUUUUUUUUUUUUUUUUUUAAACGAAGGAGGAAAAACUCAGUUUAUAAAAUACCUGUGUAUGUGUGGACUAUGCCUUAGCUUCAACAUACGCCCUCACCUGGGACAAUCAUGAGUUUGUUUUUUUCAAGCUUACCAAAAGUAGAUGAACAUCGGAGGGGAUUUUAACUUGGUUCAAGAUGUAUCCCUUGACAGGUCUUACUCUAACCAGUCUACUCUAACCAAAUCAGCCAACAUGAUUCUGAACUGCGCAUCUCACCUGAGACUCUCUGAUCCUUGGAGAUUUAAAAACCCGCAAGGCUGUUUCAUUCUUUUCCUAUGUUCAUCAUACAUUUUCUAGAAUUUAUUUCUUUUUGGUAGAUAAUAAAUUGUUACACUAUUACCACAUGCACUUACCACACAUUAGAGGUCUCUGAUCCGCGCCCCCGGACGUGCGUCUACUUAAAGUGCGUCCGAAACCGCCUACUUCUCUACUAUAUAAUAGGGAAAAAGCAGUAGGCGAGCAAUUAAGUAUGUCAGAAACCUCAGUAAUCAUAAAUGAGUAGUCGAGAAGUUCCCGGAUGGCCUACUGCUUCCGCCCAGAUUCUGAAGUGUUCCUCGAUCGAUACUUUUCUAUCCCAGGAGGCCACGGGAGAGGAUACGUCAUAAUUGAACACGGAGGAGAAAAGCAGCGCGGAUGCUUUCAAAUGAACAGAUGAUCACACGUGUGUUCAUCUGGUGAUGAAGGAAUGCUGCCAUCAAAGGCUUUGAAGCUUUGUGGUGAAGCAGGACCUACAAGACAAGGAUGUGAAAUGUCCUCAGACUGGUGUGAGCACUGAGGAUGGCGAGCCACAGGUCCUGGAAAUGGUGUAGAGCCAUGGACGAGACGCUCCAUCACUCCUCCUUCCAAGUGACUUGAUCAAGGACACACUGGAGGUGAUGCUGCAGAGAUUGAACCAGCAACCUUCUGCUGACCAGCUCAGUGGUUUAGCCCACCACACCACAAAAUCAUGCUGAUGGAGAGCACAUGAAUGUUUGCAGCAGACACAGCAGCAGCCAGAUUGUCCCGCACAUCUUCUCCCACUCUUGCUUCAAGGUUGUGGGGUUCAGGGGUCCAUCAUCAUCAUCAUCUUCCUCAUCCUCUGGAUCAACGAUGUCCCCACUGAGAAGAGCAGCAGUGAGGGACAUGAUGGAUGAAGGUGUUCAUCAGAAUAAAGCUGCAGAAUUGGCACAGCUGUGUUGAGAUGGCAGUAGGAUUGUAAAUACGUGAUUGUUAGAUCAAUAAAUUUGAAUAAAGCUUUGUUUCAUGUGUUGUUGACUUGUAUAUGCAUUUAUUUAUUGUCAUUACUUUAAUUCUUUUACUUUUUUUUAUUAAUUAUGCUAUCAGUAAAUUUAUAUAUUUUAUUAAGCAAUGAAUUUAUUUGAAUUAAUGCAAUUGACUGUAAAUUGAGAUGUAU